rnacentral:tRNA from 1 species
UGGGGCGUGGCCAAGUGGUAAGGCAACGGGUUUUGAUCCCGCUAUUCGGAGGUUCGAAUCCUUCCGUCCCAAGCA